CUAGCUGUAAACGGUGCUUAUUUGCUGUAAAAGGAAUCGACCCCUUUUGUGGCGUAGCAAACGCGUUAAAUAAGCCGCCUGGGAANCGCGAAGAACCUUACCUGGCCUUGACAUGCAAGUAGUAGAAGGAUGAAAGUCUGACGAUCCCGCAAGGGAAGCUUGCACAGGUGC
rnacentral:rRNA from 1 species